rnacentral:rRNA from 1 species
GGUUGCGAUCAUACCAGCACUAAUGCACCGUAUCCUAUCAGAACUCCGCAGUUAAGCGUGCUUGGCGAGAGUAGUACUAGGAUGGGUGACCCCCUGGGAAGUCCUCGUGUUGCAACCC